rnacentral:lncRNA from 1 species
GGGGAGUGUGUGUGCAACUGGAACACUCCUCUGACGCAUCGUGGGUUCCGUUCCCCGACUCACUUCUCAUUGCCUGGAAAGCAUAGGAAAAUUUCAGUUCCUGCCCUUGAUAGGCAGUCCAGCAAAACUUACAUAUGACUUUGCUGCCUGAAAUUCUUUCUGGAACAGGGCAAGGUAUAAAUAAAUAAAUAACAACAUGGUGAAAUCCCAUCUCUACAAAAAAAAAAAAAUACAAAACUUAGCCCAGUGUGGUGGCGGGCGUCUGUGAUCCCAGCUACUCAGGAGGCUGAGGCAGAGAAUUGCUUCAACUCGGGAGACGGAGGUUGCAGUGAGCCAAGAUUGUGCCACUGCACUCCAGCCUGGGCAGUAGAGUAGGUUUUUUGGCCUUGGGAAGGUCCUUCACCCGCUCUGAACCUCAGUAUCCCCACCUGUAAAACAAAAGAACUGGACAUGUCACUGUAGUUUUCAAACUAUGCUUGAUAGCAGUUCCUUAGCGAAGAGCUUCCCAGCUGGUGUGCCUUGGCAUGAUGACCUCAUUAGCCCUCCCAGACAAGGCCUGUGGUGGGUGAGCCCCCAGGAGCGGUUCCAUUCACAUUUCCUCUCCUUACCUUUGCCUUAAAAAUGGCAUAAUUCAUCCGGGUGUGGUGGCUCAUGCCUGUAAUCCCAGAACUUCGGGAGGCCGAAGCUAGUGGAUCACAAGGUCAGGAGUUCGAGACCAGCCUGGCCAACAUGGUGAAACCCCCCCAUCUCUACUAAAAAUACAAAAAUUAGCCGGGCAUGGUGGAGCACAUCUGUAAUCCCAGCUACUCCGGAGGCUGAGGCAGGAGAAUUCGCUUGAACCCGGGAGGCAGAGGUUGCGGUGCGCCGAGAUCGCGCCACUGCACUCCAGCCUAGGCGACAGAGGAAGACUCUAUCUGAAAAAGAAAAGAGAAAAAAAAAAGGCAUCAUUUUCUAGGUACCGUGACAGGGAAUAGGUUGGGAAGCAAUGACUUCAGGACAGGGGGAUGUUGAGUGAAUGGGGCUCAGCCCUGUAGCCAGUCAACAUACAGAGGCUUAAAGCAAAUUUCCAAAAGGCAUCCCUUUUCCUUCAAGAUACUACCACCCUCUAUUGGACAACUGCCCUGUUAAUAACUGUACAAAUCUAUGAGUGUUACAGCUCUUUUAGAAUUUGUCUAGCAGGUUUUCCAAUCUUCACUGAAAAGCUUUAAAAAAUAAAGUAAAAUUAUGAUGGAGGUCAUGGUACCUCCCAGAGUUGUGCAGCUCAUGUUUUGCACAACCAUUUAGGGGUUCUAAUGGAGCUCUGGGAUC